GGGUGGGUGUGUGGGUGUGGCGUCAGAAUCGUGUCAAAACAAUCAAAGCAACUCGCAGCAACGUGUCUGUACACGCAUGAUUAUUUUCUUACGCAUGCGUGCGUGCGUGCGUUGUCGUGUGCAGAUUGUAUUUCACGCGUAACAAGAAGCUGCGUACGUAUGAAGCAGCGCGUACACGCCUGUCUGUCACUGUUUGACAAAUACUAUUACGCGUUCACACACGCGUGCGGUCGCCAUACACAAUAGAACCACGGCCGCCUUAAUGCACGGGCUUACCUGGGCUGAAACCCAGGGGCCUACCAAGUUCAGGGGCCUAUCAAUGAGCUGGAAAAGUCACACUGUUUUUGUUGCUUGUCAAGUUCUCUGUCAAUCAUUUUAUACUUCACAUUCGUGGCUGGCAAGACCCGCCCCACUCUCAUUGAUUACUGUUGUUGUUACGUCCACCUAACUUUCCCCCCUUGAGUGACAGCUGAAAAAUGACGGGAAAAAAGAAAUUUGAGAGCGGCGCUCACAAAAGAAAGGUGUUUCGGGACAAAGAAACCCAGAAAAAGCAAUUACUUAAGAGCAUCCCAAAGCUAACAGGAUUCUUUAAACUGUCCGAAACGGAUGGUGGUGGCUGUUCAGCGGCAUUGAGUUUACCGGAGGCAGCAGACGAGGCGGGGCUCGCGCAGGUAGAAGUAAGAGAGGAAAAGAGAAGAGGAGCGGUGGAUGAGGGAGGAGGAGACGAGGAGAAGGAUCAGGGAGGAGGAGACGAGUCCGGCAGUGGCCCUUACAGCAGCAACCCGGGCCUCUGGGGAAACAAAAUUGACCGGCAGGCGCGCGCUUACUGGGCGAAAAUGGGACCAGAGACGUGUCAAAAUAAAAAUGCCGACCUCCGUGCAUCAGAGCACACAUACAAACACUAGAGAAGAUUUUUCUCAAAAACAUAUUUCCACCGCAAACUGAGUAACGGGGAAUAUGUAAGUAGAGAGUGGCUUUAUUAUUAACCAUCAGUAUAGCGUGUUUUGUUUUGGUUUCAAGAUUUUUGGCGAGAGCAACGAAAAGUCUGCAUUUGUUAGUGGGAGUUUCUCUGACUGGAAACAUGCAGGUGAUCGUAUAUCAGAACAUGAAACCUCUGACAUCCACAGAAAAGCCAUGAUUGCUUACAUCAAUCAAGCAGCUGAGAGUGGGACAGUGGACUCAGAACUUAGAAAACAGUUUGAUGAGGAGUGUGAUUAUUGGGCACAGGUUCUACAGAGGGUUGUUACUGUUGUGAAGUAUUUAGCUGAGAGGGGACUAGCUUUCCGGGGAGACAGCCACAAGUUUGGAGACAUCAAGAAUGGAAAUUAUUUGGGCAGCAUGGAGCUGAUCAGCCAGUUUGAUCCCUUUUUAAAAGCUCACAUUGAAAAACAUGAAAACGCUGGCAAAGGAAAUCCAUCCCAUCUCUCUCUGAAUGUGUGUGAGGAAUUCAUACAGCUGAUGGGACAGAAGGGGCUGGAUGAAAUUACCAGCAGAGUAAAACUAGCAAAGUAUUUUGCUAUCAGUGUGGACUCGACACCUGACAUCACACAUGUGAUGUCAGGUGAUCUCCAUAUGAGAUUUUCAAUCUUUCACCCAUAUUGGUUUUAAGUAAAGCAUGCACUGAUGUUAUACAAGUGCAUUUUGUGUUCAUGUAAGUUGAUCAAUAAAAGUAUGCUGGUGUUUUCUGGCUAAAGAAGGAAACCUCACAGUUGUUUGUCGUAAAAGAAACUGAUGCAUUUUUUUUUUUAAUGUAGAGGAGUAGGGGGUCCUACAAAACCUCUCAGCCCCAGGGCCUACCAUUAGGUUAAGGCGGCUCUGAAUAGAACGUUUCUGCACCGUGCGUACCAGUCCGCCUCACAUGAGCGUGUCGUGUAAUUGGCCUUUUCAUUUUAGUCAGCCAGGAGAGGCAGCAGUGAGCCAUAGUGGCGGAAAAGAAGAAGACGAAGAAGAGUCUCCCCUUUUCGACCGAGGCAGUUCCGGUUCGAGGUUGGAGUUGGUGGCCGAUUCGACUCCGGUUUUUUGUUUUUCAACCGGCGGUGGGCCGCCUCCGGGCUCCAAAAACUGGGACUCGCACCAGCCCCAACUCGUUGCUGGGCCACAGGUGGCCCGAGGUGAGAGCCCAGUACGUCAGGGGCUGGGGUUACAGUCCGACCGUCAACAGCGGAAACACAGAAGCGCCGUUUUUAAACAGCCGAGCGAGCAGCAGUAAUGUUCAAUGUUUGUGUUUUAAAAACCGGUAAAUAUAGAAGCAAAAUCCAAGCAGCAACGGUCUGAGGAGGAGACCCAAAGCUUCCUGGAACUGUGGUCUUCAUAUGAAAUUCAGUGGAAGUUAGAGGGAGCCUCUUGGAUCACACCAGUGUUCGAAACAAUCCAGUGGGAGACGGCUACAGCUGUACGAACGGAGCCUGACUAACUCCUCAACAACUAAAAAGUUCAGAAAUGACGACAAGAACCAGAAAAGGCAGCCGGGAUGCAGCAGUUUUUGGCCAAAAAGAGCCCCGAUUUUUUCCGGCUGCAUUCCGUGAUUCCAACCAGGUCCCUGAACGUAACAGCUGAGCAUUCCGUGAUUCCAACCGGGUCCCUGAACGCAACAGCUGAGCAGGAGUUGAUGCAGGCCGCAGUACCGAUCAUGAUAGGUAAGUUUUAUUUCUUAAACACCCUGCUGUUAGCCGACUAUGAAUACGCCAGCUACAACAGAGCCACAUCAAUAUUAUGAACGUUACGCCAGCGAACGUGGUCCGGACACAGGAUCAGGUCGACUAUUUGCUAACCAGUUAGCCACUGCUAAGCUCGCAAGCUAUGAAACCGUCUUAUAAAACCUGAGAAAAGCAGCAGCAAUAUUUCAUUACCAGACCUGUAUUCAGAACCUCCCAUGUUGUUACACAAUGGCCCAUUAAUCAUAUUGCUGAACUAUAUGACAACCAUUGAAAUUUGCCUUGAAGAGCCAAUAAACUGUUUAACAUUAUUAAUACGAGUCUAAAACUUAUUCAAAAGAUCAAAUUAACACAAUGAAGUGAGGAAUACUGUUAAUGUGCAGCUAUUUUUUAUAAUUUCAAGGUAAAAUGCUGAUUGUUAUGUGAUUUUCCAGCUUUGCAGAAAAUUCAAUGCAUUCAUUACUUAUACACAGAUUUCUUUGAUGGUUUUUAGUUGUUACUCAAAUAUAUCAAGGCAUUUAGCACUGCUGGAAAUUAUUACAGGCAUUUUUUGUAACAUUCUCUAACAUCGUACGGACAAAUUAAUAAUUAAUGGAGAAAAUGGUUUUAAAUUACAGAUGCUAUCAACAACAUUUCUUGUUAAUUUUAUUUAGUUGUCGGCCUAGAAUGAUGAGGUCCAAUUACCAGGAUCACUACUCUGCAGCUUACUGGUUCCGUCCUGCAGCUCCUUCAUGCUGUCCUCCUCGCUACAGACCAAAUCAAGAUAAAGGAAGCAGGAUGCUACUGUGGAUCUGCUGCAGUAUCUGGAGACGUCAGAGGAACGGUUCUUGGAACAGAUCUGAAGACACCGAGACCUGACCACUGCCCUGCUCCAGAACAUCCAGAGGACGGAUGAAAAUUCAAUCACCUUUGCUGGACUGAUGGGACGCAUGGUGUCGGUGCUGGAGCGACUGUCACAGAAAUAAACUGCAUUGUCCACUAUUCCUACCUUUUUUAGAAAAAGUAAUCAUAUUUUUUAUAAAUUCUUUUCCUUCUUAGCUAUUUAAGUACACUGGUAUUUUACUGUUGCACUUUGGGUGAAUACAAAUAUAUUUGUGAUGAAAGAUGCGUGUUUUGUCUAUAAUCUACAGAGAUUUUAUUCAGUGUUAAGUGCACACUUCUACGUACACACAUUUUGACAGAUAAUCAGUUGUGCUUUUCAAGCAGAUUUCAUUCUGAAACAUAUCAGCAACAUACCAGUAUGUUGUUUCUUACAACAUAUGUCACACCAAGCUAGAUAAACUGCACUACUGCAGCAGAUAUAUUAUUGAAGUGUGCUUACAUUACAUGUCUACAUACACUACUCACAAAAAGUUACUCAACUUUCAGGUGACAUUUAUGGAAAUUGUAAAAAUUAAUGCUAUGGUGAUAUUAAAUCAUGAAAGUAGGGCAUUGAAGUAGAAACAUGCAAUCGUGAUUUCCUCAUCUCAAACAAUUUAUUAAAACAAAAGCUAACAGCAGUGAAGGGUAUAUCACAAUAAAAAUGUCUCAUGACAGUUUGCACAGAACAGCAGCUUUCAGCUGAAAUCCGGUACAGUUGUGUCCCACCAGUAGCGUGAUCACGGAUGUUCCCAGACAACAGCUGACCUCUGUCUCGUAAUUAAGAUCAUCUGUAAAGGUAAAUAUAGAUACUAUCAUCAAUUUAUUACGUUUGUUUAACUGCUAUGUAGGUUAGCCGCAGCAAGAUGGAGUAUCUGUGUGUGAAUGAGAGGGACCCAAGUGGAAGAGUGAGGUUACAGGGAGAAGAGAUCAAGAAGGUGGAGGAUUUUAAGUACUUCGGGUCAACAGUCCAGAGCAAUGGAGAGUGUGGAAAAGAGGUGAAGAAGCGUGUACGUGCAGGCUGGAACGGCUGGAGAAAAGUGUCAGGUGUGAUAGAAGAGUUUCAGCUAAAAUGAAAGGAAAGGUUUACAAAACUGUGCUGAGACCAGCCAUGUUGUUUGGUCUGGAGACUGUGUCCCUGAGGAAAAGACAGGAGGCAGAACUGAAGAUGCUGAGGUUCUCUUUGGGAGUGACCAGGAUGGAUAGAAUCAGGAAUGAGUACAUCAGAGAGACAGCACAUGUUAGAGGCUUUGGAGAUAAAGUCAGAGAGGCCAGACUGAGAUGGUUCAGACAUGUCCAGAGGGGAGAGGGUGAAUAUAUUGGUAGAAGGAUGCUGAGUUUCCCACUGCCAGGCAGGAGGCCUAGAGGAAGACCAAAGAGGAGGUUUAUGGAUGUGGUUAAAGAGAACAUGAAGGUAGUUGGUGUGAGAGAAGGGGAUGCAGCAGACAGGGUUAGAUGGAGGCAAUUGAUUCGCUGUGGCGACCCCUGAAGGGAAAAGCCGAAAGGAAAAGAAGUUUAACCGCUAUGUAAUGGAUGCAAACGUAUUUGAGGCUAAGUAGCUAAGCUAAAUGAAUUAUGGAAUAAUAAUAAACGUCAGAAGAACUGCAGCCUAGUGGCUCGGGGCUGUGAAGCCUGAGAACCUAAUUUAAAUAAUAAUAAUAAUAAAAACUGGGUAAGUUUAUCCCCGUGUUUUGGAACAAUAGCGCCACCAGCUGGAACCGAACAACUACACGACGCGCUCAUGUUACGCAUUAUGCUGCGCACGGUGCAGAUCAACAACUAUUGUGUACAAUCAGAAAUUGCGACCGCACGCGUGUGUGAGCGCGUAAAAGUAUUUGUCAAACAGUGACAGACAGGCGUGUACACGCUGCUUCAUACGCACGCAGCUUCUUGUUACGCGUGACAGAGUUCGCGCACGUCAUUUCCGCGUACGUGAGCGCGUGACCGAAAUGUUCUAUUAUCUUCAUGUGAGCGUUAAUGCGUGCGUUUGUAAAAAAAACGCAUGAAUUUUACGCGUGACCGCUCCGCGUAGUGUGAUUGCCGGUGCGCAGCAAUGGUCACACGUGAACGCACGCGUGAACGGGAGGCCAUUAUAAGUCAAUGGGGAAACUGCAUUACGCGUCAGGCGCACAGGCGUCAAAGUACGCGCGCGUGUGACACGUUCAGUUGAUAGCUGCGCACGCUUUUUGACACGAUUCUGACGCCAUAGUGUGUGUGUGUGUGUGUGUGUGUGUGUGUGUGUGUGUGUGUGUGUGUGUGUGUGUGUUAUGGCGUCUGAAUCGAUUCAAAACAAAGCAACUCGCAGCAACGUGUGUGUACAUGCAUGAUUAUUAUGUUACGCGUGCGUGCGUGCGUUAUAACGUGCAGAUUGUAUUUCAUGUGUAACAAGAAGCUGCGUACCUAUGAAGCAGCGCCUGCACGCCUGUCUGUCACUGUUUGACAAAUACUGUUACGCGUUCACACGCGUGCGGUCGCAAUUUCUGAUUGUACACAAUAGAAAGUACGGCACGGUGCAGAUCAACGUUCUAUUGUGGACAAUCAGAAAUUGCGACUGAACGCAUAACAGUAUUUGUCAAACAGUGACAGACAGGCGUGUACGCGCUGCUUCAUAUGCACGCAGCUUCUUGUUACGCGUGACAGAGUUCGCGCACCUCAUUUCCGCGUACGUGUGAGCGCGUGACUGAAAUGUUCUGUUAUCUUCAUGUGAGCGUUAAUGCGUGCGUUUGUAAAAAAAAAAACAAAACGCAUGAAUGUUACGCGUGGCCACUCCGCGUCGUGCGAAUGAUGGAGUGCAGCAAUGAUCACACGUGAACGUGCGCGUGAACGGGAGGCCAUUAUAAGUCAAUGGGGAAACUCCAUUACGCGUCAGGCGCACAGGCGUCAAAGCACGCGCGUGUGACACGUUCAGUUGAUAGCUGCGCACGCUUUUUGAAACGUUUCUGACGCCAUAUGUGUGUGUGUGUGUGUGUGUGUGUGUGUGCGCGCGCGCGCGCGCGCAUGCGUGUGUGUGUUGCAUGCAUACGUGCGCAAGUGUGUUUGUAUUAGCAGGUGUGAAUAGGUGUGUGUGUGUGUGUGUGUGUGUGUGUGUGUGGGUGUGUAAACUGACGGUCACAUUGAGAAAACAGAAAAGUGAGAGGAAAAAUACUGAUCCAAGAUAUAAUUCCUGAAAAUGUUUUCCUCAGUGUUUCUCAUGUUGAUCAUUUUCCUGAGGUGAAUGUGAUAUCAAACCAAUGAAGUUUAUGCUGCGCCCAUUUUUAAAAAAAAACAUUUAAUAGAUUAUUAUAAAUUGGAAUGGAUUUUUUUGGCACAUAUUUAAGGAAAAUGAAGGCAAAAUCAUUUCAGAUAAAGCAUCACAGGCCAAAUGUGAUGACUUAGUCACCUCUUACUGAAUGUUUAUUAUUAACACAUAAAAAAAUAAAGGAUGCCAGACUAUAAUUUUCAUGAUGAUAAUCCAGAAUUGCAUAUGCAAAACGCCUGCCAGUUUCACAUUAAAAUCAAAUCAUUCUUCUCUUUAAUAGUAGAGUAAGUGAUUCUAAUCUAUGCAGUUUUUCUCUUCUGUUCAGCAAAUUUCUCCUCAUAGUCUGAUUGUUUAUGUUCUGUAAAAAUAUCCAGUGUUCACACAGAGCGUGGCUCUGUAAAGGGAAAACAGAGGGGCUAUUCUAGUGUGUCCUGUGCAUACACAAAGGGGGGAGUGCAGUGUUAGCAAGACUGAUCUUAAACCUGACUCAUGCUAGCUAUCUAAAUAUGCUAACUAUCUAAAUAUCGACACUCUUUUUUACCAGAAUAACAAACCUUAAAAAUGUAAAUCUUUUUGCGUGGGCCAGUAAUAAUAACAAUGUACUGUCCCAUGUAAUUACGUAGAUCUGGGAAGUCUAGAGUAUCAGGAUACAUGAAUGGUCAGAUGAUCAGACAGGUUUAGUUAAAAUUGCUUAGAGGGAAAAAGCAAAGUUGAAUCACACAAUGAUCGUUUAUAGACCCUCCUGUUUCAGCUUUGACCCAAUUUUCCUAAGUAAUGUGCAAAAAGUUUUUUUUCCACGUCAGUGAGGGAUAAUUGCUGAUGUUUUUGGUACACUCACAUGUACAUUUGAUCUUCAAAUAAGUGGUUAUGGUUAACCUGGAUAAGGUGUUUAUUUCUAACCUGACUGAUCAUCUCACUGUUUGUGUUUUGUUGUAAUAAUGUUGCCAUUCCUAGAAACAGAAGUAGUCAAUAGAAAAUAAAUUUCUAUUUUCUUAGUAAGUAGGUAGCAAUAAAUUGGAAUUACCCUGAAAGGCUUGUAUUUUGUCUCAAAUACUGGCUCUAUAAUGGCCUGGGCACAUCAGAAAUUUGCAGAGUAUGAAUCUUUUUUUGCUUUAAUGAAGCAGCAUCGGGGCUUAGUGUCAAGCUAGUGUAAAAAGAGAAAAAAUCAGCACUAUAAUGAGUUGCAAUCUACAAGUUAUGAGUGUGGUCCUGUUAUGCACAAACUGAGCACACCAGGGUCAUGUGCCUGCUUUUAAUACAAGAACAAGAUUGGGACCUGUGUUAUAUGCGUUUUUGUGACCGCUUAUAGGUUUCCAUUUGUGAUUUUACCACGGACGUAAAGGAGGACAAAGUCUUCAAAAAUCUCCAUCAACACGACUGGGAUGACUCAAUUGCCAGGCCAAGGAUUAUCAUCGGUGAUGAGAGGUGGGGCACUGCUACAACCCACAGGACAAACAGCACUUUUUAGAAGAAGGGCUCACAGUCUCCAAAACUGGUCAGGUCAGGAACACACCAAGAGCAUGCUCAUCAUUUUCCUUGACAUUCAAGGGGUUAUGCACUGUGAAUUCAUCACUCAGGGUCAGACAGUCAACAUCGAGUUCUACUGUCACAUCCUGAGGCAUCAGAGUAAGAACAUUUGGUGCCAAGGAUCUGAAGUGUGAUGUGAUGGCACAGCAGGGAAAGGCUGUCAAGAACAACAACACGCAGCCUGUGAAUUUGCUGACUCAUACAUUAAAUUUUAAUUGACACAUAUUAAGAAAUCAUCGACUUAAAUGUAAAUAAUAAUUGCCCUUCAAUUUGUAUUUUGUUAGACAACAAUAAAUAACAAAUCCAACCUGA